CCAGAAAAGUUAAUGUGUAGCUUUAGCGAGCCGUGAGGUUCUGCUAGUCGCCGCCGGGCGGCGAGACCGUCAAAUUGCGGGAACUCCCUAAAGCCUCUGAACACCAAGCGGGAGGCGAAAGCCUCUCGUGGCCGGGGUAAUGACCUUGGGUAUGGUAACAGCGUCAGAGGAUGUACAAUGGGUGAUCCGCAGCCAAGUCCUAAGCCUUUGGGUACGGAUGCAGUUCAACGACUAGAUGGUGGUCGGUGGGCAGAGCCCGCUUAAGAUAUAGUCUGUCCCGCCCGAGAGGGUGCC
rfam:Tremella mesenterica DSM 1558 unplaced genomic scaffold TREMEscaffold_10, whole genome shotgun sequence.